UACGUAGGGCGCAAGCGUUGUCCGGAAUUAUUGGGCGUAAAGGAGCUCGUAGGCGGCUUGUCACGUCGGAUGUGAAAGCCCGAGGCUUAACCUCGGGUCUGCAUUCGAUACGGGCUAGCUAGAGUGUGGUAGGGGAGAUCGGAAUUCCUGGUGUAGCGGUGAAAUGCGCAGAUAUCAGGAGGAACACCGAUGGCGAAGGCAGAUCUCUGGGCCGUAACUGACGCUGAGGAGCGAAAGCGUGGGGAGCGAACAGG
rnacentral:rRNA from 1 species